ACCCGUGUGACCAGCUUUAAAAAUUUGAACACUACUCUACUACCCUUCCUCUUCCUUAUGCGCUUAAGUAGGCAGAGAAAUACACAACCAUCACACUUCAUCUUCAAACUCUUUCACAUUCUCUCAUUUCUGCCGCUAGAACACAAGCAAUCAAUCAGAAAAAUUAAACCUCACUACUCCUCCUCUCUUGUGCGCUAGCAAGAGAGGUAAGAUACCUUAUCCCUUUCAAGCUCCUUCCUUCAUUAAUCUUGUGCUAAACUCCAGCCGUACAAGCAAAGAAGAUAAUCAAGCUUUGAAGACAGAAAUCUCUCCUUUCUUCCUCGGUUUCCCAUCAUCAAGGAGCGGCAACUUGGACUUAUUGCUCUAAGAAAACAACCUCUUUAAGCUCUCAAGUUUCAUUCCAAAGUAUCCUAGUAUAGCCUUGCCUAGAACAAGUACCCAAGCUCCUAGGAACUCUCAUUGAUUUGAAGACAUUAUUGGUUAAGUAUCUCGGAGAUUAAGCGGAAGAAAAAGCGUUUAAAGGGAGAUGCACGUAGGUUGUUUGCGCUCUUUGUUUGGAAAUUAUUGGACUUGAUAAGUUGCUGGAAUUUUUUUUGUAUUAUUUGCAAGACACUUUGGUUGCUGUUUCCUUUAUG